ensembl:lncRNA novel transcript
CUCUAAGGGAAAACGUCCAAUGAAUGUAAGCAGAGAACACAUCCAUCCUUUUAGAGAGGUCGCGGCGGAACUACUUCCGGAUCCUAGAGAGCGUUUAUUCCGUGACCGGGGAAACGGUAGCCAUGGCAACGUGUUCUUCACCCUUUCCCAUCUAUGCCUGGGGUUUCGUUGGAAGUGAUUCCAGCACGACUUUCGCGGCCAGCUUUCUCGUGUGGCGGCGCUUCUCGGAAAGAAGAAACACACGAGAGAGUCCUAACUUAAACUGGAUUGUUUUUCAACUCUGAUCUGUCCCCUGGUUGGCAUCUCUCACCUUCCAAUACCAAUAAGAAACAAUUUUCAAGAAAGAUUUCCACCUGUUCAUAGCAAACAUAAUUGGGAGGAAGAUUAGAAGCAGUGGGGGUCGGUGGCUGUGCUAGGAUGAAAAUUGUGAUAUUUUAUGCAUAGUGUUGUCCCCAAGCAAAGAGAAAUGAGCCAGAAGACAAAUGAGAAUGUAGAAAGGUAUACCCAAUUCCUUCAAAAGCCCCAGAAACCCAUUCAGCCUUACAUCUGCUCGACUCUGAAUGAUUUUCAAGAAGAGAGAGACUUUUUGGCAAACAACAUCUUCCCUCAGCUUAAUGAACUCUGCAAUUCCUGGGGCACAUAUUUCAAAGCCGUGGACCUGAGUUGGUCAGCAUUAAAGGCCCCGAAAUCCUUACCCACCCACCUGUUUAGACAGUAUUCUUGUCUUCGCUCCCAACGUCUGAAGCUCUGCCUUGACUAUGUGAACAGCUGCUUUCCCUUUUUCAUCUGCAUGCUGGGUCAGACGUAUGGAGACUUCCUCCCUGACUACUCACAUUUCAUGACCUCCAAAGUGACUCGCUUGUCAAGCUUAUCCAAAGUAGAAUAGAAUCUCUAUGUUGCUGCCAAAAACGGUUAUCCUUGGGUUCUGGAGAACCCCAGCUGCAGUCUGACGGAGUUUGAGAUAAUCCAAGCAGCAUUUCUGAAUGAAUCUCAAUUUCAGUAUUUUUACUUUAGGACUGGAACCACACUGCUGAAGGCUUUAGAUGAUGAGAAAAAGGGAGAGAGGCUGCCCUCAAGUUCUUCAACCAACGAAGAGGAAACAUUGAGGAUUGGAAAGCUUAAGGCCAAGAUUAUUAGUAAAGGGCUCCCUGUGAGAUUUUAUAGUGAUCUCCACGAGUUGGGUGAGCUGGUUUUUAAGGACUGGUCAGUUGUGAUAGAAAAACUUCAUCCAGCCACUUUAAUGAUUGAAAAUAUAGGUUAGUAAAUAUAGAGAUAACUAAGUCCAUUAUCAACAUAAAGGUAAUGUUUUUAUAGGUCUUCCUUGUGAAAGGAAUUUUUAAAUGAUUGCAAAUGUUCCUUAAGCAUUUAAAAA